CUCUCGCCGGUGAGGGAAAUAUGUAAUGGCUCGCCAGCAAUUUGAGCACUGCAGGAAUAAACCGCUCCGUCCAGAGGCUUUUUAUCACACGAUGGAAAUUGAUUGGGUAAAAGAAUUCAGAUACCUCUUCCAGGCAAUCCUGCUGUUUCUG